rnacentral:rRNA from 1 species
AGAAUCAACGCUGGCGGCGUGCCUAACACAUGCAAGUCGAACGAGAAAGUGGAGCAAUCCAUUAGUAAAGUGGCGCACGGGUGAGUAACACGUGACUAACCUACCUUUUAGUGGGGGAUAACCUAGGGAAACCUGGGCUAAUACCGCAUAAUACCCACGGGUCAAAGCAGCAAUGCGCUGAAAGAGGGGGUCGCGGUCGAUUAGUUAGUUGGCAGGGUAAUGGCCUACCAAGACUGUGAUCGAUAUCCGGCCUGAGAGGGCGCACGGACACACUGGAACUGAAACACGGUCCAGACUCCUACGGGAGGCAGCAGUGGGGAAUUUUGCGCAAUGGGGGAAACCCUGACGCAGCAACGCCGCGUGGAGGAUGAAGUCCCUUGGGACGUAAACUCCUUUCGAUCGGGACGAUAAUGACGGUACCGGAAGAAGAAGCCCCGGCUAACUUCGCGCCAGCAGCCGC